rnacentral:tRNA from 1 species
GAGGGGAUAGCUCAAGUGGUAGAGAGCAUGCUUAGCAUAUAUGAGGUCCUGGGUUUAAUUCCCAGUACCUCCU